UACGUAGGGUGCAGGCGUUAAUCGGAAUUACUGGGCGUAAAGGGCUCGUAGGCGGCCAACUAAGUCAUACGUGAAAUCCCUCAGCUUAACUGGGGAACUGCGUGUGAUACUGGAUGGCUUGGAUUUGGGAGAGGGAUGCGGAAUUCCAGGUGUAGCGGUGAAAUGCGUAGAUAUCUGGAGGAACACCGGUGGCGAAGGCGGCUUCCUGGACCGAUACUGACGCUGAGGCGCGAAAGCUAGGGGAGCAAACGGG
rnacentral:rRNA from 1 species